rnacentral:rRNA from 1 species
GACGAACGCUGGCGGCGUGCUUAACACAUGCAAGUCGAACGGAAAGGCCUGCUUUCCCUUGUGGAUUGCGGGUACUCGAGUGGCGAACGGGUGAGUAACACGUGAGUGAUCUGCCCCCAACUUGGGUAUAAGCCUGGGAAACUGGGUCUAAUUCCCGAUAGGACUGCAGGGUGGUGCCUGUGGUGGAAAACGAUUUUCUAGUGGUUGGGGAUGAGCUCGCGGCCUAUCAGCUUGUUGGUGGGGUAAUGGCCUACCAAGGCGGCGACGGGUAGCCGGCCUGAGAGGGUGGACGGCCACAUUGGGACUGAGAUACGGCCCAGACUCCUACGGGAGGCAGCAGUGGGGAAUAUUGCACAAUGGGCGGAAGCCUGAUGCAGCGACGCCGCGUGGGGGAUGACGGCCUUCGGGUUGUAAACUCCUUUCGACCGCGAGGAAGCCACCUGGUUGGACGGGUGGUGACGGUAGUGGUAGAAGAAGCACCGGCUAACUACGUG